GAGAGAGAGAGAGAGAGAGAGAGAGAGAGAGAGAAUGCCAGAUCCGCGAGCUGGCCUACAACGUGGAGGACUGCAUCGAGCUCCUCGUCCACGUCGACAAUGGGACGACCAGCUUCUGGCUCCGCCUCCGCCGGCUCUGCGUCCCCUGGGCGCGCCCGCCGGCGCUCGACCAGGCGCUCGACGAGAUGGAGCAGCUCAAGGCCAGGGUCGCCGACGUCAGCACCACCUGCUUGGUUCUGCAGACCUCACCGUAUAGUUGUUGUUCAGGUGCCUAGAGGUAUUGGGAAACUGACGGCGUUGCACACGCUUGGUGUUGUCAACACUCAACAUCUCUGCUUCCGGUGGGAAGGCCAUGGCCAAAGCUGCUCUCAAGAAGCUCACCCAGUUGCGCAAGCUCCGAGUGUCCGGCGUUAACAGGAAGAACAGCAAGGAUAUGUUCUCUGCAAUCAAGGGCCAUCUCCAUCUGGAAUCCGUUGUCUGUCCAGCCUGACCAUUUUAUAGGUGCGCAACUCCAGCUCAUUAUCUGUCAAGUUUGGUUCAGAGACGAUGAAAAGUCUUGAGCUGCUCAAGCUACUGGUAUAUAUAUUUAAUAGGAAAGCUAGCCAAUAUGUCCAGCCUUCUCUCACAUUGCUCAACGGUCCUUAACACCAUUGUGGUUUGAGUGGAAAACUGCUCAACUGUCCUUUUUCUCACAUUGCUGCCAAAAGUGCAAGGGAAAAAUGGAGACAACACUAAGAGGCUUCUCUGACGAGCACAAUGAUCUGAGUGGAAAAGAGUGAGAUUGUUGAAAAACAGUGCAUCUUAUCCCAAGCCAAGCAAGGUGGGUCAGGCAUGACUGGAAAGCUUGUAUGUUCUCCCUUGUUGGGAAGCCUUUUAGUACGUUCGGAUAAUGUUUUGUGUGAAAAAGAGCCAAAAUUUUGGCAGAACUGAUCAUUGCUUAGAUGGUUAGAAGGGUGGUUUUACCUUCUGCCUACCUAGGGUCAAAUACUAGACUUGGUGCUCUGUGUAUCUUACUAAUGCGGAUUAUUAUCUGUAUAGCAUCUCACAUGGUGUCAGUGUCGAUGUCCUUGCUAUAGUGUGGAAAUAUUUAGGAUCAUGUAGACAUGGAUUAUUGUUUUUUUUACUAUUGAUUAUUCUAUAUUUAGAGUGACGUGGACGUGGAUUAUUGUACUACAUUUUUUUAUUCACCCAGAAAGAGUCGAACACGGUGGGCAUGAGUCAAGUCAAUGCAUACUUUUCUACGCGGUAGGUGGGCAUCUCAUUGGGUUGGUGGUAUAUAUCCAACUGAGGCUAGCAGGAAGCGGUUCCUUCUCAGAAGCUUCAUCCCCGUUUCUCCUCUGCUCUCUUCACAACUGCUAGAGGAUCCCUCAAGAGUCCCAUCUUCACAAGGAGUCACAUCAACACUUCUUAAAUCAUCAGAAAUGGCUACUAGUGCUAGCGGAGGUAGAACUCAAGAGAACAAGCCGAGCAUUUUGAGCACAUUACCGAAGCAUCUGCCAUUAGACUUUCUGAAGAGUAUCACAGAUCAGUUCUCAGAGAAGCGUGUAAUUGGUGAAGGCGCUUUUGGAACUGUUUAUAAGGGAACAGCGCCAGAUGGGGAAACCAUUGCUGUGAAGAAACUUGCCGAAAACUCGCCCCUUCCACGAGAUAAAGCAUUUAAUAAUGAGGUUCAAAAUAUUAUGGCUCUCCAUCAUGAAAAUGUUGUAAAGUUGGUUGGUUACUGUCAUGAAAGUCAAAAGAAAGUGGUGCAGAACAAUGGAAGGUAUAUUGUUGCUGACAUUGUUGAAAGUGUACUCUGCUACGAAUAUUUACCAGGGGGAAGCCUUAAGAAGAAUCUUUUUGGAGAUACCAAAAUGGACUGGGACACACGAUUCAACAUAAUUAAGGGGAUCUGCGAGGGUUUACUCUUUGUACACAGCAUUCCUAUUGUCCAUAUGGAUCUUAAGCCCGAAAAUAUACUGCUGGAUAGUAACAUGGUACCGAAAAUAGCGGAUUUUGGUCUCUCGCGACUCUUCGGUCAAGAACAAACACGGAUGAACACACAAAAUGUAGUGGGGUCAUAUGGAUACAUUGCUCCAGAAUAUCUAUACAGAGGUGAAAUCUCCACAAAGUCAGACAUAUACAGUUUAGGUGUACUAAUCCUGGAGACCACCACAAGAGAGGAGAAUUGCCGCGGGAACAAACCAUCUGCAGAACAAUUUAUUAAAAAGGUACGUGAAAAUUGGACAGAGCAGCACAUCGUAUCAGAGUACCCAUCAUUAAAAGCAGAUAGCCUCCGACAAAUAAAAAAAUGCAUCGAAAUUGGACUGCAAUGUGUUGAGACUGAUCGGCAGAGGAGACCUUCCAUAGAAGCAAUUAUCAACCAGCUCAAUGGACGGCAUUCUAAUUGAGCUACGAUGCCGUACUGAUCUCCAGUCUCGAGGGAGAAUUAAGUUCGGGUCUUCUUCAGGAGACAUGUGCAAGAAGCAAAGGACAUGCUCGGCUGUUUGCCAAAUAAUUUGCUUCGAUAUCCAUGUUUUCUACUAGUGGAAGAGGACGACCCAUGAAGAGGCUGCACCGGUUCUGCGGCAACGUUGACCGCUACAAUUUCUUCACCGAGCUGGGGAAGAGAUAGACAUGUGGGUUAAUGGUGCUCGCUCAGGAUCCCCGCAGUGGCAUCUUGCAGAACUGCAGCGAGAGGGUGUCACACUUCAAUUCUUAUUCUAGCUAGCUCUCCUUCUCUGCUUGCGUUGGACUUGUUCUACAGCAGAGUAGAAUACAGUAGGGAGGGAGGCUAGAGGCUAGGGGAGAAUCUGGAGUGAGCUAGAGUGCCGUGCGUGCACUUUUAUCACGGGAAAGUUUGUCGCGGGUGGCAGUCGACACAGCCAGCGGGGGAGAAGUGCAAGCGGCGUCGGCCGGCCGUGACGGCGUCCAUUACCAAUGAUAUGGCAGAAUAAUGGCCCACCAAGACCGAUCGUGCGGCUGCGUCAAAACUCCGAACUUGAGCUAGCGGUGCCGUCGGCUGCUGAAUACUGUCGAGCACAAGGUCAAUAUGUACAGCUCUGAUUUUUUUUUUUUGCUGGAGUGAGCAUAGUUUUUUUUAGGGAAGAGUGAGCAUAGUUUUUCCGCGGUUAUAAUUGAAGUUCAACGA